AUUUGGUGUAUGGGUUCCAACUUUGUUCUAAGGGCUUGUUUGGCCUAGCUUCUGGAAAAGUGAUUUCUGCAAAAGUGAUUUUGGUUUGGAGAAUUGAUUUUGGUGAAAAGCUGUAGAGCGUUUGACUGAGUUUAGGUAAAAGUGAUUUUUCUGAAGUGAUUUUCUAAAGUUGUUUGGUAAAAAAUUUUGAUGCUUGCAUAUAUUAAUAUUUUAAACAAAGUUUUAUUUUAAAAUAAUUUAAAAUUUGAAUUUAAAUUAAAAUUUUAAAUUUGAAUUAAAAGUAUAAUUCAACCCCCCUUUGAAUUUAAACUAGUGAAUUACCCGCGCGAUGCUGCGGAUUUAAAAUAUUUUAACUAUAAAUUUUAAUUAAAAUAUUUAUAUUAUUUUAAUUUUUAACUAUUAAUUAUAUAAAUUUAAAAAUAAUUUGAAUAAAAAUAAUGUAAAU
rnacentral:lncRNA from 1 species